GAUGAAGAACGCAGUGAAAUGCGAUAAGUAGUGUGAAUUGCAGAAUUCAGUGAAUCAUCGAAUCUUUGAACGCACAUUGCGCCCUUUGGUAUUCCUUAGGGCAUGCCUGUUCGAGCGUCAUUUAAACCUUCAAGCUAAGCUUGGUGUUGGGUGACUGUCCGCCUCACGGCGGACUCGCCUCAAAAUUAUUGGCGGCCGGUACAUUGGCUUCGAGCGCAGCAGAAACGCGAACUCGGGCCCGUCGUAUUGGCUCCCAGAAGCUAUCUUCACAAUUUUGACCUCGGAUCAGGUAGGGAUACCCGCUGAACUUAAGCAUAUCAAUAGCGGAGGA
rnacentral:misc_RNA from 1 species